rnacentral:rRNA from 1 species
CACGUAGGAGGCGAGCGUUGUCCGGAAUCAUUGGGCGUAAAGAGCGCGCAGGCGGCUUGGCAAGUCGGGUGUGAAAUCCCGGGGCUCAACCCCGUGACUGCAUCCGAUACUGUCAGGCUAGAGGUAGGUAGGGGAGAUCGGAAUUCCUGGUGUAGCGGUGAAAUGCGCAGAUAUCAGGAGGAACACCGGUGGCGAAGGCGGAUCUCUGGGCCUUUACCUGACGCUUCAG